rnacentral:misc_RNA from 1 species
GAUGAAGAACGUAGCGAAAUGCGAUAAGUAAUGUGAAUUGCAGAAUUCAGUGAAUCAUCGAAUGUUUGAACGCACAUUGCGCCCGCCAGUAUUCUGGCGGGCAUGCCUGUUCGAGCGUCAUUUCAACCCUCAGGCCCCCAGUGCCUGGUGUUGGGGAUCGGCCCAGCCUUCCUGUAAGGCCGCCGGCCCCGAAAUCUAGUGGCGGUCUCGCUGUAGUCCUCCUCUGCGUAGUAGCACAACCUCGCAGUUGGAACGCGGCGGUGGCCAUGCCGUUAAACACCCCACUUCUGAAAGUUGACCUCGGAUCAGGUAGGAAUACCCGCUGAACUUAAGCAUACAAUAAGCGGAGGA